rnacentral:rRNA from 1 species
UAGCAUAUCAAUAAGCGGAGGAAAAGAAACCAACAGGGAUUGCCCUAGUAACGGCGAGUGAAGCGGCAACAGCUCAAAUUUGAAAUCUGGCUCUUUCAGAGUCCGAGUUGUAAUUUGCAGAGGGCGCUUUGGCUUUGGCAGCGGUCCAAGUUCCUUGGAACAGGACGUCACAGAGGGUGAGAAUCCCGUACGUGGUCGCUAGCUAUUGCCGUGUAAAGCCCCUUCGACGAGUCGAGUUGUUUGGGAAUGCAGCUCUAAAUGGGAGGUAAAUUUCUUCUAAAGCUAAAUAUUGGCCAGAGACCGAUAGCGCACAAGUAGAGUGAUCGAAAGAUGAAAAGCACUUUGGAAAGAGAGUCAAACAGCACGUGAAAUUGUUGAAAGGGAAGCGCUUGCAGCCAGACUUGCUUGCAGUUGCUCAUCCGGGCUUUUGCCCGGUGCACUCUUCUGCAGGCAGGCCAGCAUCAGUUUGGGCGGUGGGAUAAAGGUCUCUGUCACGUACCUCUCUUCGGGGAGGCCUUAUAGGGGAGACGACAUACCACCAGCCUAGACUGAGGUCCGCGCAUCUGCUAGGAUGCUGGCGUAAUGGCUGUAAGCGGCCCGUCUUGAAACACGGACCAAGGAGUCUAACAUCUAUGCGAGUGUUUGGGUGUCAAGCCCGAGCGCGUAAUGAAAGUGAACGGAGGUGGGAACCCGCAAGGGUGCACCAUCGACCGAUCCUGAAGUUUACGGAAGGAUUUGAGUAAGAGCAUGGCUGUUGGGACCCGAAAGAUGGUGAACUAUGCUUGAAUAGGGUGAAGCCAGAGGAAACUCUGGUGGAGGCUCGCAGCGGUUCUGACGUGCAAAUCGAUCGUCAAAUUUGGGCAUAGGGGCGAAAGACUAAUCGAACUAUCUAGUAGCUGGUUCCUGCA